rnacentral:rRNA from 1 species
AGUCGAGCGAGUCUGCCUUGAAGAUCGGAGUGCUUGCACUCUGUGAAACAAGAUACAGGCUAGCGGCGGACGGGUGAGUAACACGUGGGUAACCUGCCCAAGAGAUCGGGAUAACACCUGGAAACAGAUGCUAAUACCGGAUAACAACAGAUGAUGCCUAUCAACUGUUUAAAAGAUGGUUCUGCUAUCACUCUUGGAUGGACCUGCGGUGCAUUAGCUAGUUGGUAGGGUAACGGCCUACCAAGGCGAUGAUGCAUAGCCGAGUUGAGAGACUGAUCGGCCACAUUGGGACUGAGACACGGCCCAAACUCCUACGGGAGGCAGCAGUAGGGAAUCUUCCACAAUGGACGCAAGUCUGAUGGAGCAACGCCGCGUGAGUGAAGAAGGGUUUCGGCUCGUAAAGCUCUGUUGUUGGUGAAGAAGGACAGGGGUAGUAACUGACCUUUGUUUGACGGUAAUCAAUUAGAAAGUCACGGCUAACUACGUGCCAGCAGCCGCGGUAAUACGUAGGUGGCAAGCGUUGUCCGGAUUUAUUGGGCGUAAAGCGAGUGCAGGCGGCUCGAUAAGUCUGAUGUGAAAGCCUUCGGCUCAACCGGAGAAUUGCAUCAGAAACUGUCGAGCUUGAGUACAGAAGAGGAGAGUGGAGCUCCAUGUGUAGCGGUGAAAUGCGUAGAUAUAUGGAAGAACACCGGUGGCGAAGGCGGCUCUCUGGUCUGUUACUGACGCUGAGGCUCGAAAGCAUGGGUAGCGAACAGGAUUAGAUACCCUGGUAGUCCAUGCCGUAAACGAUGAGUGCUAAGUGUUGGAGGUUUCCGCCUCUCAGUGCUGCAGCUAACGCAUUA